GUUUAAAUAGUUUAACAAAAACAUCAGUCUUGUAAACUGAAAUUAAAAAUAUUUUUUUUAAACU
rnacentral:tRNA from 1 species